AUUGAACGCUGGCGGCAUGCCUUACACAUGCAAGUCGAACGGCAGCACGGGUGCUUGCACCUGGUGGCGAGUGGCGAACGGGUGAGUAAAGUAUCGGAACGUGCCUGGUAGUGGGGGAUAACUAGUCGAAAGACUAGCUAAUACCGCAUACGAUCUAAGGAUGAAAGCAGGGGACCUCCGGGCCUUGUGCUAUCAGAGCGGCCGAUAUCUGAUUAGCUAGUUGGUGGGGUAAAAGCCCACCAAGGCGACGAUCAGUAGCUGGUCUGAGAGGACGACCAGCCACACUGGAACUGAGACACGGUCCAGACUCCUACGGGAGGCAGCAGUGGGGAAUUUUGGACAAUGGGGGCAACCCUGAUCCAGCAAUGCCGCGUGAGUGAAGAAGGCCCUCGGGUUGUAAAGCUCUUUUGUCAGGGAAGAAAAGGCUGUGGCUAAUAUCCACAGCUGCUGACGGUACCUGAAGAAUAAGCACCGGCUAACUACGUGCCAGCCGCCGCAGUAA
rnacentral:rRNA from 1 species